rnacentral:rRNA from 1 species
UGCCAAGGGCAUUGCUGGGUAGCUAUGUAGGGAAGGGAUAAACGCUGAAAGCAUCUAAGUGUGAAGCCCACCUCAAGAUGAGAUUUCCCAUUUCUUUAAGAAAGUAAGACCCCUGAGAGAUGAUCAGGUAGAUAGGUUGGAAGUGGAAGGCUAGUGAUAGUUGGAGCGGACCAAUACUAAUCGGUCGAGGACUUAACCAAA